CCUACGGGCGGCAGCAGUGGGGAAUAUUGCGCAAUGGGCGAAAGCCUGACGCAGCGACGCCGCGUGAGGGAUGAAGGUCUUCGGAUCGUAAACCUCUGUCAGCAGGGAAGAACAGUCCCUGUGCUAAUCAGCAGUGACUUGACGGUACCUGCAAAGGAAGCACCGGCUAACUCCGUGCCAGCAGCCGCGGUAGUACGGCGGGUGCGAGCGUUAAGCGGAAUUACUGGGCGUAAAGCGCGCGUAGGCGGUAGGUCAAGUCAAGGGUGAAAUCCCCGGGCUGAACGUGGGAACUGCCUUUGAAACUGGGAAACUGGAGUGUGUGAGAGGAGAGUGGAAUUCCAGGUGUAGGAGUGAAAUCCGUAGAUAUCUGGAGGAACAUCAGUGGCGAAGGCGACUAUCUGGCACAUAACUGACGCUGAGGAGCGAAAGCGUGGGUAGCAAACAGGAUUAGAUACCCGGGUAGUC
rnacentral:rRNA from 1 species